rnacentral:rRNA from 1 species
UACAGAGGUCUCAAGCGUUGUUCGGAUUCAUUGGGCGUAAAGGGUGCGUAGGUGGCGAGGUUAGUCAGGUGUGAAAUCUCGGGGGCUCAACCCCGAACUAGCACUUGAUACUGCCUUGCUAGAGUACUGAGAGGAGAUGGAAUUACGUGUAGCAGUGAAAUGCGUAGAUAUCGUAAGGAAGACCAGUGGCGAAGGCGAAUCUCUGGACAGUUACUGACACUGAGGCACGAAGGCCAGGGGAGCAAACGGGAUUAGAUACCCUGUAGU